GCUAACGCGUUAAGUCGACCGCCUGGGGAGUACGGCCGCAAGGUUAAAACUCAAAUGAAUUGACGGGGGCCCGCACAAGCGGUGGAGCAUGUGGUUUAAUUCGAUGCAACGCGAAGAACCUUACCUGGUCUUGACAUCCACGGAAGUUUUCAGAGAUGAGAAUGUGCCUUCGGGAACCGUGAGACAGGUGCUGCAUGGCUGUCGUCAGCUCGUGUUGUGAAAUGUUGGGUUAAGUCCCGCAACGAGCGCAACCCUUAUCCUUUGUUGCCAGCGGUCCGGCCGGGAACUCAAAGGAGACUGCCAGUGAUAAACUGGAGGAAGGUGGGGAUGACGUCAAGUCAUCAUGGCCCUUACGACCAGGGCUACACACGUGCUACAAUGGCGCAUACAAAGAGAAGCGACCUCGCGAGAGCAAGCGGACCUCAUAAAGUGCGUCGUAGUCCGGAUUGGAGUCUGCAACUCGACUCCAUGAAGUCGGAAUCGCUAGUAAUCGUGGAUCAGAAUGCCACGGUGAAUACGUUCCCGGGCCUUGUACACACCGCCCGUCACACCAUGGGAGUGGGUUGCAAAAGAAGUAGGUAGCUUAACCUUCGGGAGGGCGCUUACCACUUUGUGAUUCAUGACUGGGGUGAAGUCGUAACAAGGUAACCGUAGGGGAACCUGCGGUUGGAUCACCUCCUUACCUUAAAGAAGC
rnacentral:rRNA from 1 species